rnacentral:rRNA from 1 species
UACGUAGGGUGCGAGCGUUGUCCGGAAUUAUUGGGCGUAAAGAGCGCGUAGGCGGUCCGAUAAGUCGGCUGUGAAAGUCAGGGGCUCAACCCUUGAAAGCCGGCCGAUACUGUCGGACUAGAGUCCGGAAGAGGCAAGUGGAAUUCCCGGUGUAGCGGUGAAAUGCGCAGAUAUCGGGAGGAACACCAAUGGCGAAGGCAGCUUGCUGGGACGGUACUGACGCUGAGGCGCGAAAGCGUGGGAGCA